GAUGAACGCUGGCGGCGUGCUUAACACAUGCAAGUCAUGGGGGCCCGAGGCGCAAGCCUUGGGCAACCGGCGAACGGGUGCGUAACACGUGAGCAACCUACCCAGGUGUGGGGGAUAGCCGUCCCAACGGACGGGUAAUACCGCAUACGCUCAACACGAGGCAUUUCGAGUUGAGGAAACCUUCGGGGCACCAUGAGGGGCUCGCGGCCUAUCAGCUAGUUGGUGAGGUAACGGCUCACCAAGGCUACGACGGGUAGCUGGUCUGAGAGGAUGACCAGCCACAUUGGGACUGAGAAACGGCCCAGACUCCUACGGGAGGCAGCAGUGGGGAAUCUUGCGGCAAUGGCCUAACGGCUGACGCAGCGACGCCGCGUGAGGGAUGACGCUCUUCGGAGU
rnacentral:rRNA from 1 species